rnacentral:rRNA from 1 species
AACGUAGGACGCGAGCGUUAUCCGGAGUUACUGGGCGUAAAGCGCGGGCAGGCGGUCUGGCAAGUCUGAUGUGAAAUCUCCGGGCUUAACCGGGAGAGGCCAUUGGAAACUGACAGGCUGGAGGGCAGUAGAGGUAGGCGGAAUUCCGGGUGGAGUGUUGAAAUGCGUAGAGAUCCGGAGGAACACCAGAGGCGAAGGCGGCCUACUGGGCUGCACCUGACGCUGAGCCGCGAAAGCCAGGGGAGCGAACGGG